UUACUUUCUUUUCUAAGCAAAUGCACAUGUAUUUUCAUAUUGAGUUUGUGCAACUAUUACGGCAAGGAACACAUGCAUAUUAUGACUGAUCAGAGACCUAUUAUUAGAUCCCCACACAUGCACUUAAUGAUUAUAGGAAGGCCUCAGGAGUUCAUAUUUGUUUAAUGCAUUUUUGUUAAGCCGUAUCUGUAAAAGAAGUAUGAGUAUCCUUGUCCGUACUAUAAGGUUCAUGAUUUGGUUUUCACAUAAAGAAAGAAGUUGAAUACCCUAGCUAGAUCACCUAAGUGCCUUAUGUUCCGACCUUGGUUGACCUAUAGCCACAAUGCAGUCACGUUAUAUGGUUCAGUUUACCUUCUCUUUUUAUUAGACAAAAAAAAAAA
rnacentral:lncRNA from 1 species